rnacentral:rRNA from 1 species
CCUACGGGUGGCAGCAGUGAGGAAUAUUGGUCAAUGGACGCGACUCUGAACCAGCCAAGUAGCGUGCAGGAUGACUGCCCUAUGGGUUGUAAACUUCUUUUAUAUGGGAAUAAACUGUUUCACGUGUGGGAUUUUGUAUGUACCAUAUGAAUAAGGAUCGGCUAAUUCCGUGCCAGCAGCCGCGGUAAUACGGAGGAUCCGAGCGUUAUCCGGAUUUAUUGGGUUUAAAGGGAGCGUAGGCGGACGUUUAAGCCAGUUGUGAAAUGUUGCGGCUCAACCGUAAAACUGCAGGGGGACCUGGGAGUCUUGAGUACAGUAGAGGUGGGCGGAAUUCGUGGUGUAGCGGUGAAAUGCUUAGAUAUCACGAAGAACUCCGAUUGCGAAGGCAGCUCACUGGACUGUUACUGACACUGAGGCUCGAAAGUGUGGGUAUCAAACAGGAUUAGAUACCCCAGUAGUC